ACGGCGUACGACAUCGGUUUUUCGCUAUAAUUCGGUAUAAUUCGAGGUAGUCCACCCUCACCCAAAGUUAAGGUUUCAUGGGAAUAUUAUUGUCAUAAUUGUCUGGACCAUAUAUGAUAUUUGUUUAAUGGUAGUUAUUGACAGAUCUUGAAGAUGUCAAGUUAUAGGUGCAUAAGACUAUGUUGUUCAUGCACGUUCAUUGUAAGAGGGGAAGAGAUGUGUAUUUUGGGCUAACUCAAAUUCCGUAGUAGAAAAACCCCGGAAGUGGGAUGGGCGCAUUCUGUGUUGUUGUGGUACGCCCUGUGAACGCACUGUGAGUAAGGAAUAAAGCAGUUAUCAUUCACGUCGUUGUCCGACCUAUGCUUGCGAUCUAAGCACCUGGAAAAUAAUGGGACCGGCUCGUUUCUGAGAAACAAACUCAGUGCUCCCACUAAUUCAACGUAAUGGCAGAAUCUCUUCGUGGGCCGACGAACAAAACUGGACAGUUGCGGGAGACCUUUCAGAUGAUCUGAAGAGCGCACGUCACAGGAUAUGAUGAAGCUGGCAUCACAACAUGUGUCCUCCCUCACACAGCCUGCUGUCAGGACUCCGCGCCCCUCCGUAAAAAUCCAAUCACUGUGAGUAUGCAAAUGAGGCAAGACGUGCCAGAGAGUGUCAAGUUACAGUCAGCGCGGUAGGAGUUGGAAGAAGCAGUAAAAACUCCACCAAACCCGUCGUAAUGACCCGUGAUAUAACUAAUGAUUAACGACAACUCAAAUAAUAACAUUCAUAUUAUAUGUUCCCCCCCCCUGAGAGAUUGCCACCAUAUUGUGGUCAGGGGGUUUGCGUGCCUCAGUGACCCUAAGAGCAAUACCAGCAGAAGCUUUAAUCUUCAGGUGGGACACCCAAGAUGGACAGGUCAGUGUAGAGGCCUGACAGAGUGCAAUCCACUUCUCCAGGUUGAGGUCUGGACACACAGCGCACAACUGCUGUGAAGAAAACACCAACAGUGUUAAAAAUGUGUAAAAAAAAAAAGAACACGCCCCCUUCAAAUUUCUGACUGCCGCCUCUUAUGUGCAUUCCUAGAACCGGCCCUGUAUGCCGCCCAAAAAAAUGAGGGCUACAAUGAACUCAAAUCAUCCAUUGACUUGAUACGGCAAGACCUUACCACACUCUUAGAGCAGCAAGCCACCCUGCUCCAGCUAACGUCUGAACUAACGGAGCUUAAGAAAUUAUCCAAGGAGAAAGAUGAGAAAAUCUUGUCGCUUGAACGGAGAGUCGAUGCACUGGAGCAGUACUCCCGACAAGAAGACCUCAUAAUUACUGGUCUUAAAACAUCACACCGCUCCUAUGCCAGGGCGGCGGGUCCUCCAGAUCCUUCGACAGAUGACUCUCCAUCGGACGAACUGUCAAUGCUUGAAAAUUAGGUAGUACAGUUUUUCGAGAGUAAGCAUAUAGAACUCCGGAAAGGAAACAUUGCCGCUUGUCAUACACUCCCAAGAAACCGAAAACGACCAAAAGAUGCUCCGAAAAUUAUCAUUCGGUUCGUCAAUAGGAAACAUAAAGUGGAUCUUUUGAAGCAAGGGAGGAAACUACAAGGAACGGGUGUUUACCUAAAUGAGCACCUCACUAAGAAGAAUGCUGAGUAGCCUGGAACGCACGCAAACUGAAGAAGGAAAACAAGAUUCUUGCAACGUGGGUCAGAAUCUGCAAAGUAUGGAUUAAAACGAACGGAGCAACACCAGAAGAUGUCAAGACUCUCGUUGUGAGUGAACUGGAGGAACUGAAGAUGUAUGGCCUGGUGGUGGGGGAAUCUAACAUCUACAAUAGUUUGAAAAAGGUCAUCCAGAGUUCACCCAGCCCCCCAUCUGCUCAGAAUGGACCCAAAAUGGUACCGUUCGUUUGUGCUUCGUUAGUGCUGGUUUGUGCAGCAAAAAGUUUCGUUUGUGCUGCUUCCGUUUCGGAGAUAUUAGACAUUUAUUUUAUAGCGAUGACGUCUGGUAGCCCCGCCCCCUUGUUUACUUCCGAACGACCCAAAAUAGUGCCGUUCGUUCGUUUGUUUGGUUUGUGCUGGUUUGUGCUGCAAAAAUGGUACCGAUUGUGCCGGCUGCUACGGUUUUGCAGAUAUUACACAUUUAAUUCAUAGCGAAGACGUCACCCAGCCCCACGUCACUGUAUUUUGUCGCGAAUUUCAAGCUCCUGGAAUGCUCCUGAUGCAGGACGAAUACAAGGUCAUUAUAAAUCUCCCAGGCAUAUGCAGUCCUCCUGCAGUAUGCCACAUAAUGCCCGAGAGAAUCCUGGGUCAGUCCUGGUUCAAAGCCAAUGACUGCUCUCAAAGUAAAGGUCUUCUCUUUUAGCUCCAGACUGGAGGGAAAUUCAAGCAAGGCAACUUCCUUGCAACUGCUACCAAGAGUUUUGAAUGAAGACGGACACCGGGAAGGAUUUUCAAUUGGCCUGAGGCAGAGAGAGUCAGGAAGGCUGAGUCCCUCUUCAGCAGCAGUCUGAAGAGAAGCCAUGCCACAGUGGAGAUGUGGCAUUGUGCAUCAAUUUGGAGAGCACCAGAGGUCAGGAGGACAGGUUUGAAUAUUUCCCCCAGCAGUUCUGCCCUCUGUGAGUAUACCUUGGUUACCCCGGAUGUCCGCGCUGAAUAUUUUUACACUGAAUUUUUGGAGACAUCGAAUUUUUUUACACUGAAUUUUUUUAGACAUUGAAUUUUUUUACAUUGAAUUUUUCGAGAUGUCGAAUUUUUUUACACUGAAUUUUUUAAGACAUGGAAUUUUUUGACACUGAAUUUGAACUGACAUUGAAAAAAAUGUCUUAGGAAAAAAAAAAUUCAGUGCUAGAAAUUCGAUGGCUUUUAAAAUUCAAAGUCUGAUUUAGAUGCAAAAAAAAAUUCAGUGUUAAAAAUUGGAUGUAAAAAAAUUCAGUGCUACAAAUUCGAAUUCAAAAUCCGAUGGCACAGAUAAACUUCCAUACACCUCCGUGGCUGGAAGUCCACGCCGCCACACGCCUGAAAGUUUGUUUUGUUAAAUAAAGAGCCGUUUACCAAA